rnacentral:rRNA from 1 species
GACAGAGGGUGCAAACGUUGUUCAGAAUUACUGGGCGUAAAGCGCGUGUAGGCGGCCCAGCAAGUCGGAUGUGAAAGCCCUGGGCUUAACCUAGGAAGUGCAUUCGAAACUGCUGGGCUUGAGUUCUGGAGAGGAAGGCGGAAUUCUCGGUGUAGAGGUGAAAUUCGUAGAUAUCGAGAGGAACACCGGUGGCGAAGGCGGCCUUCUGGACAGUGACUGACGCUGAGACGGCGAAAGCGUGGGGAGCAAACAGGG